rnacentral:rRNA from 1 species
GGGUUGUGAGGUUAAGCGACUAAGCGUACACGGUGGAUGCCCUGGCAGUCAGAGGCGAUGAAGGACGUGCUAAUCUGCGAUAAGCGUCGGUAAGGUGAUAUGAACCGUUAUAACCGGCGAUUUCCGAAUGGGGAAACCCAGUGUGAUUCGUCACACUAUCAUUAACUGAAUCCAUAGGUUAAUGAGGCGAACCGGGGGAACUGAAACAUCUAAGUACCCCGAGGAAAAGAAAUCAACCGAGAUUCCCCCAGUAGCGGCGAGCGAACGGGGAGCAGCCCAGAGCCUGAAUCAGUGUGUGUGUUAGUGGAAGCGUCUGGAAUGGCGUGCGAUACAGGGUGACAGCCCCGUACACAAAAAUGCACAUACUGUGAGCUCGAUGAGUAGGGCGGGACACGUGGUAUCCUGUCUGAAUAUGGGGGGACCAUCCUCCAAGGCUAAAUACUCCUGACUGACCGAUAGUGAACCAGUACCGUGAGGGAAAGGCGAAAAGAACCCC